GGAGGGAUGGCAGAGCGGUUGAAUGCACCGGUCUUGAAAACCGACGUGGGUUUAUAGCCCACCAAGAGUUCGAAUCUCUUUCCCUCCGCCA
rnacentral:tRNA from 1 species